rnacentral:lncRNA from 1 species
UGAGAAAUUUGGCUCCCAUUUUUCCUAAUAUAUGUGCUUAUUUGUUCAUCCUUUCUAUAUGUAGCCGAUCACUCAUAGCUGCUCACCCCCACAGUGACCCACAUCCCUUGUCCCUUUGUUUGGACUUUAACAUUCCACCAGGCAGCCUUCCUAUCUGGUCACUCCUUGCACUACCUCUGACAUUUUACUCAGGAGCACUGGGCUCUCUCUCCACCCUGGUGUGGACACCAGUCUUUCUCAACCCCACUCUAUGGAUUUAGGACUGAAUUGAUCAAGAAAGGAGGAAGAAGACGAGGACAUGAGAGAAUUCGCGGAAUAUUUUAACUCCAACCUAAGGCUGGUCUUACCUGUGAAGAAAAUAUUUGACUCUAUUUUCCACAGCAAAGGAAUAAUCAUGGACUGUACUAGAUAAGCUUCUUCCUGACGUCAAGCUACCUGAUGAAUAAUCUUGCCAGCAAUAUUCCCUUGGAGCAGGUGUACAACAUAAUGAUUUGAUACAUGAAAAUACUGUGAAAUGAUCACCACAGUAAGUCUAGUUAACAUUCAUCACCACACACAGUUGCAAUUUUUUUUCUUCUGAUGAGAACUUUUAAGAUCUACUCUCCAAGCAACUUCCAGAUAUACAAUACAGUAUUGUUAGCUGUAGUCACUAUGCUGUGUGUGGUAUCUUUUCCAACUGUAAGUCCUGUAGCUAAGAAUGUCUGAAGUGUGGAGUGGGAGAUAAAGGGCCAUAGGAGGUGAAGCUGGAGAGAUACAAAGGUGAAUGAGUCAAUGGCUGGGAUUGGAGAAUAACUCAGGCAUUAGGAUGAAAUUCCU